rnacentral:rRNA from 1 species
GACGAACGCUGGCGGCGCGCCUAACACAUGCAAGUCGAGCGAGAACCAGGGCUUCGGCCCUGGGGACAGCGGCGAACGGGUGAGUAACACGUGGAUAACCUGCCCUCGGCACCGGAAUAGCCCGAGGAAACUCGGAUUAAUGCCGGAUAGCCCCACAUCCCUGCGGGGAACGUGGGAAAAGGUAGCUUCGGCCUCCGGCCGAUGAUGGGUCCGCGGUGGAUUAGCUUGUUGGCGGGGUAACGGCCCACCAAGGCGACGAUCCACAGCUGGUCUGAGAGGAUGAUCAGCCACACUGGGACUGAGACACGGCCCAGACUCCUACGGGAGGCAGCAGUGGGGAAUCUUGCGCAAUGGGCGAAAGCCUGACGCAGCGACGCCGCGUGCGGGAAGAAGGCCUUCGGGUUGUAAACCGCUUUCAGGAGGGACGAAGCCACUCGGGUGAAUAGCCCAGAGGGUGACGGUACCUCCAGAAGAAGCCCCGGCUAACUACGUGCCAGCCGCCGCAGUAACAC